GGUAGAGUAGGGCCCUACUCUAACUACUAGUAAAUGUAAAAGGCUGUGAUCACCUAUUCACCUACACCUACUAGUAGGUAAAGUAGGGCCCUACUCUACC
rnacentral:miRNA from 1 species